UUAAACUAAAUUUAAGGAAGUACAUUGUUAAUAGUGACCCUCGGAGGAAAUGGAUUUCUCUUCUAUUAAAAACUCUAUGGUAUAUCUAGAAGAGUUUCUUAUCACAUCUGAUGGUCUCAUUCCAACUUCGUAGGGUGGGUCUUCCCCAAGGAACCUCUGAUCCUGGUCGCAUCUUGGUCAUUGUACGAUUUCAAAGUAGUGCAAUAUCGCCAUGAUGUGCUGGGGCAUGAAGACGUAUCCUGUGUAUAGUGCCAUCCCCACAAUGGAAACCAGCAUGGAAUCUGAGUUGUAGUUAAGGAAACUUAUUAUUAUUAAUUUAUUCAAAACUAAAUCUCCACAUGUCUUCAACAACUCUUUUAUGCUGAAGUACCCAUUCACUUAGUGCUUUCUCAUUUAUAUCAAGCACUGAUAAAAAAAACAACAAGAAUGAUAAUACUAGCCACUAACAACCAUGCCUGGCACCACUCUAAGCUGGUUUUGUUUUAUUUUGUUUUUAGCUCAUUCUAUCUUUACUAUCACCAUAUAAAGUAAGUACUGUUAUUCUCCCUGUGUAGUUGAAAAUAUCAGACUGCUUCAAAUGUUUUUGUUUGUUUGUUUCUCUUUUUUUUUUUUUUUUUUUUUUGAGACAGAGUUUUGCUCUUGUUACCCAAGGCUGGAGUGUAAUGGCACGAUCUCGGCUCACUGCAACCUCUGCCUUCUGGGUUCAAGUGAUUCUCCUGUCUUAGCCUCCUGAGUAGCUGGGAUUACAGGUGCCCGCCAUGACACCCAGCUAAUUUUUGUAUUUUUAGUAGAGACAGGGUUUCACCAUGUUGGCCAGGCUGGUCUCGAACUCCUGACCUCAGGAGAUCCACCCAUCUCAGCCUCCCAAAGUGCUGGGAUUACAGGCGUGAGCCACUGCGCCCGGCAGGACUGCUUAAAAUGAAGCAUAGAAUGUGAUACUGUUCUACCUAAGAAAUAAAUAUACAGGAAUAAAAUUCUAUUUAAUUACUAUAAAAGAUCUACCAACUUAACUAAUAAGAAUGUAUGAUCAAAGAAUUUUAGAAUUAGACUAGAAUGUGGCUAAAAGUAUUUUUAGAGUCAGACAAAGCUAAAAUCAAUCAUACACUAGCUUAGGGAUGACAGCAACUGCUACUGCUAUUAUCACUAUUAAACAUUAUUAUCACUAUUGCUACUAUUUGCAACAACUUCAAAUAAAGGUAAUCUUGAUAACCUAAACAAUAACCUUUCUGUACCAUGUUCCUUUCUUUUUAUUACAAAAGGAACUGAAACUGUAUAUAUGGAAGUCAACAAGAGGCCUCUCUCUGGGGCCACACAAAAUACUGCUAGCAAAAAUUAUGUCAAAUCUAAGGGCUUUUGGCUUUGCACAGUUACAUAGGAUGCUAAGAGGAAUAACUGUUUUUGAACUGGAGUCAUGCUUUAUUAAUUCAUUCAUAUUCUCAUUCUUCUCUCUCUCUCCUCUUUCACUUGCCUUUCCCCUUUCUCAACUCUACAUACCUUUCAGCUAUACAUACUAUUAUUUUUAAAAUAACUUACAUUCUUUUAUGAGAAGAUAGGGUUUAAAUAAACAAUGUGCUUACUAUCAACUAAUAUUUGUAUAACAGGUUAGUUGACAAAUCUCUUCCACAAUUACAUUAUCUUACUUAACCCUUAUAGCUUUCCUAUGAAAUGUUUAUUAUGUUCAUCACUAAUCAGAAGCUGAGAAAACUGAGUAGCUUGUUCAGGGCCAUACAGGAAGCUGUCUUUAGAGCCAGAGGUCAAACCAAGACUGCCUGACUCAAGCCAUAAACUCAUUCUCUUCAUCCAGCAAACAAGAGCAGAAAGUCUUUCACAAUCUUUUUUUUACAAUUUACUUUUUAACCGCCCUUAAUCCAGUUAUUCCUUAAACUGCCGCCUUCUAUUUACUAAUUUCUUUAAAAAAAAAAAAAGAGAGAAAGAAAAAUAUAUACAUUUGCUGCUUCUAUAUCAUUGGCAUAUAUUUGUUCAUCACCAACACACCAUCUGAUUCUUACUCCUCCAGACUGUAGGCAUUGUUCUAAGAUCACUGGUGGUCUCCACCAAAUCCAAAGGCUGUUUGAAUUGACACUGUUUUAGUCCUUCUUCUUCAAAACCCUUUCCAUUUAUGCCUGUAGUGCCAGCUACUCUGGAGGCUGAUGUGAGCCGGAAGGGCACCACUGCACUCCAGCCUGAGCAACAGAGCCAGACCCUGUCUCAAAAAACAAACAGAAAACAAAACAAAACAAUCCUUUCCACUCUUUAAAACUCUACUCUGGGCUCAGGUAUUUUCUAAGGCCCUCUUUUAAUCUCUCUUACCAUUUCCCUGUUUUUCACUGGCUCUUUCCUUUAUGAUGGAUGAUAGAUAAGAGUGAACUUUGUGCUUUCCUUGCAAACAUCCACUCUCCUCCUAGUAUAGCAGCCAUGCCCUUUUGGUUAGACUAACCCAUCUUCAUGGAUAACCCCUGACUGGUCUUAACCAAUUAGAGGGAUCUCUUUUGCUUGGUAACAAUGCCCUACAUCAAAACUGAUUAAUCAGCUCAAAGCUUAGGACUUCAGCCAGGAAUUCAGGAACAUAGAUGCUCUCUCCUACAAUAUGCAGCUUGCUGAUGGAAUCUUGCAAUCACUGGAGUCACUUUACCUCCAUGAGGAAAGCAAGAUUCAGAACAAAGCUGACUCAAGAAGGUGGCAGGACAAAAAUAAUCACAGAAAAAUGGAGUCAGAAUCCUCAUCAAAAAACCCUGAAUCCCACCCUACCACUGGAUUUUUACAUACUAAACUAAUAAAUCCCCUUUACUUUUUUUGAGUCAAGGUCUCACUCUGUUGUCCAGGCUAGACUGCAGUUACACAAUCAUAGUUCACCACAGCCUCGACCUCCCAGGCUCAGGCAAUCCUCCCACCACAGCCUUCCAAGUAGCUGGGACAACAAACACGCACUACCACGCCCAGCUGAUUUCUUUAUUAUUUUUGUAGAGAUGGGGUCUCCCUAUGUUGCUCAGGCUGGUCUUGAACUCCUGGGGACAAGCAAUCCUCCCACCUCAGCCCCCCAAAGUGCUGAGAUUACAGGUGUGAGCCACCACGCCGAGCUGGCCAAUCCCCUUUACUCUUAAAGUAGCUUGCUCAAUUUUGUUACUUGCGGCUGAAAACGUUCCAGAUGAUAAAAUGGAAUUCCCAUCGUUUUGUCUUGGGCCCCAUAUUCCCUCAUAACUUAAACAACUACAGGUUGAGUAUCCCUCAUCCUAAAUGCUUGAGUUGAGAAGUAUUUCAAAUUUCAGAUUUUUUUUUUAAAUUUAGAAUAUUUGCAUUAUACUUAACCCGGUGAGCACACCUAAUCCAGUAUCAAAAAUGCUCCAACGGGCAUUUCCUUUGACUGUCAUGUUGUUGCUCAAAAGUUUUGGAUUUUCGAGCAUUUCAGACUUUUCAUUUUCAGAUUAGGGAUGUCCAUUCUGUACCUUCAUGUUGUCAACCUGACCUCACCUUCCAUACUGCAGACAGAUAUUUCUACCUACUUACGGUACAUUUCCAUCUAUGACAUUCAACAAGGUAACUUAAAUUCAAACUGAACUCAUUAACCUUCUCCAAAACUACCUCUUCCUACGAGUCCAAUUUUGCCGAUUAACACAACUAUUUGCCAAGUCAUCCAGUCUAGAAGGUUUUUUAUUCCUUCUCCCCACAUUCAAAUUACCUAUGACUUCUCAGUUCUUCCCCAAUCCCUACAAAUGACUCUUGUAUCUCACCUCCCCAACCUUAAUCAAUGAUAAAUGAUUAAGGCAUUUAUCAUCCUUUACUUAGAUGAUAGAAAGUUCCCAUCGUAGGCUUCUAGCCACUUUCCAUGUCCCUCUUUACUAGAAUGAUCCUUUUAAAAUGCAUUAGGUUUCCAAUGUCUAUAAGACAGCACUUAUAGGAUUCUAAGGCAAGUAUUCAAGGACUUUCCGAUCUAGCCCCAAAUCUUAGGAUCCACAGAAGUAGAUAGGGACUGAAGGAUUGAGACAGGGAUUCUUGUGCAAGCUAUUUAUUGAGGGAAUUUUAUUUGAAGGGGAGUGAGUACAGUAGAAUAGAGCAGGGGAAAUAAGCUAAGUAGGGACAGAGUCUCAGCUCCCACAGGGCACUCUGGAGCAUAAAUUAUACCAUAUAGUUGGCAUUGCUUUGACACAAAGGGCCUGACCUUUUGUAUCUUCUUAUCUGUCAAUCAUUGGUUAUAGGGUGGGAUACGGAAAAUCCACCUAACCAAGAAGGCUGCUUGGCAGAGGACAAUACUCUAGAGAAAGGGGGCGCUAUAGGUCAUUAGCAGCCAACACUCACGGAGGCUUGGGGGGUACAUCAGCCAUUAAAGGGGACUUAAGCUAGGUGCAGUGGCUCAUGCCUGUAAUUCCAGCACUUUGGGAGGCCGAGGUGGGAGGAUUACUUGAACUCAGGAGUUUGAGACUAGUCUGGGCAACAUAGUAAGACAAUGUCUCUACCAAGAAAAAAAAUAAAAUUAACUUAAAAUAAAAAAAAGAAAGGAGACCUAGGUGAAGACCAACCACGACUACCAUGCUACUUUUCCACUGUACUUCCCAACAGUCCAAACCAUUCCCUAAUAUACACAUAUCCUACUUGCAGUCAUAUUACAAGAGUCUCAGAAAACAACAUUAUAUAUUUCCAUACUGCUCUGGCUUUGCUUAUUGUUUAAUGAUAAUAUAAGAAUAAGACUGGCAGCAGCAGCUUUCACUUUGUGAAUGUCUAGUGUGUGUCUGGUACUAGUUAAGCACUUCAUCAAGUUCCAGUAACCUCCCCAACAAACUACAGGGGCCAGUUCCAAAACAAAUCAGUCCAACUCCAAGUAUCUGUGUUCUUAACCACUGUACUAUAUACUUUCCUACAUAUGAAAAGCCCUACUCCCCCUAGUAAAACCUAAUAAUUCUAGGAGCUCAGUAGUUAUCUCCUCUUGUAUUAGGCCUUAGGCCUUCCCUGGCAUUCAUAAUUUUUCCCAUUCUUACCCCAACCCCUUGGCAGAACUAAUUAUUCCUUAAUGCUCAUAAAGCUCCUUUAAUACUUUGUUUGAAAGUGAGUAACACAGCACUUACCACCUGACAUUACCUAUUUGUAGAUGUACUUACUCAAAUUAUCAACUCCUUAAACAGAGAAAUAAUAUUAUUUUUGUAUCUCCAGCAUCUAACAAAAAAACAUGCUAAAUAGACAUUUGAUGAACAGAGAUGUUCAUGUGACUAGAUUCAUUAUGAUGCUUUCUACAUAUUCCUCACAUUAUUGUGGCUGAAAAACUUGAUAAUGACUACAGAAAAGACAAAAACAGUUUCCAGGCAAUAUUGGACUUAAGAACAAAUUUUGCUUUUUCACAGCUUUUAUAUAAACCUUAUAAAUACAUAUACCAAACAAAUGAAAAUGGUAUAGUAAUAAUCUUAAGGUCAUUGGCUCAAUUUCAACUCCAGUAGGAGUGAUUACUAUAAAUCAGCUAUCUGAAUAUGUAUGUUACAUAGUCUUUAUGAUGCUAAUUCUUCAAUUUAGUAUGGAGAAUAUAUCACUUAAGGAACACGCAUAUAUUAGCCUAACGGGUUAUUCCACUAUAAAUCAAGAAUCUGAAACUUGGCUGGGCGCGGUGGCUUACACCUAUAAUCCCAGCACUUUGGGAGGCCGAGGC
rnacentral:lncRNA from 10 species